UGGGCGCUUUCGAAAGCGCCCAUAAAAAAUAUGGGCGCUUUCGAAAGCGCCCAUAAAAAAUAUAGGCGCUUUCGAAAGCGCCCAUCAAAAAUAUGGGCGCUUUCGAAAGCGCCUAUAAAA